GUGAAUCAUCGAAUUUUUGAACGCAAAUUGCACUCUCUUCGGAGAGUAUGCCUGUUUGAGGGUCAGCCUAUAAAAAAAUCGACAUAGUCGCUGUUUCGCGGUGAUAUUCGUCGGAUAUUGGGUCAUCUUAAACCUUUGGGUUUUAUGCGGCAUAAAAUUUUCUUUAUGAUAAUACGAACGCUUCUAAGA
rnacentral:misc_RNA from 1 species